rnacentral:rRNA from 1 species
GAUGAACGCUAGCGGCAGGCUUAACACAUGCAAGUCGAGGGGCAGCAUGAACCGACCUUCGGGAAGGUUUGAUGGCGACCGGCGCAAGGGUGCGUAACGCGUGAGCAACUUGCCCGUUUCUGGGGAAUAACCGGUGGAAACGCCGACUAAUACCCCAUAGCAUCAACUUUGGGCAUCCUUAGUUGAUUAAAGAAUUUCGGAAACGGAUAGGCUCGCGUGACAUUAGCUUGAUGGCGGGGUAACGGCCCACCAUGGCGACGAUGUCUAGGGGUUCUGAGAGGAAGGUCCCCCACACUGGAACUGAGACACGGUCCAGACUCCUACGGGAGGCAGCAGUGAGGAAUAUUGGUCAAUGGAGGCAACUCUGAACCAGCCAAGUAGCGUGCAGGACGACGGCCCUAUGGGUUGUAAACUGCUUUUAUGCGGGAUAAAUGAUCCUACGUGUAGGAUUUUGCAGGUACCGNAUGAAUAAGGACGGCUAAUUCCGUGCCAGCAGUC